rnacentral:tRNA from 1 species
GCUGGGAGUGUCUGAGUGGUUUAAGGAGACAGUUUGCUAAACUGUUGUACAAUUUUUUUGUACCAUAGGUUCGAAUCCUAUCUCUCGCG